AGACGUCUACAUUAGACUACCCGGGUAGUCCCAGCCGUAAACUAUGCGCGUUAGGUGUAUCGGUGACCACGAGUCACCGAGGUGCCGAAGGGAAACCGUGAAACGUGCCGCCUGGGAAGUACGGUCGCAAGGCUGAAACUUAAAGGAAUUGGCGGGGAGCACCACAACGGGUGGAGCCUGCGGUUUAAUUGGACUCAACGCCGGGAAGCUCACCGGAUAGGACAGCAGAAUGAUUGCCGGGCUGAAGACCCUGCAUGACUAGCUG
rnacentral:rRNA from 1 species